ACUGCUCAGUAACACGUAGUCAACCUAACCUAUGGACGGGAAUAACCUCGGGAAACUGAGAAUAAUUCCCGAUAGAACAUUAUGCCUGGAAUGGUUUAUGUUCCAAAUGAUUUAUCGCCAUAGGAUGGGACUGCGGCCUAUCAGCUUGUUGGUGAGGUAAUGGCCCACCAAGGCGAUUACAGGUACGGGCUCUGAGAGGAGAAGCCCGGAGAUGGGUACUGAGACACGGACCCAGGCCCUAUGGGGCGCAGCAGGCGAGAAAACUUUGCAAUGUGCGAAAGCACGACAAGGUUAAUCCGAGUGAUUUCUGCUAAAGGAAUCUUUUGUCAGUUCUAAAAAUACUAGUGAAUAAGGGGUGGGCAAGUUCUGGUGUCAGCCGCCGCGGUAAAACCAGCACCUCAAGUGGUCAGGAUGAUUAUUGGGCCUAAAGCAUCCGUAGCCGGCUCUGUAAGUUUUCGGUUAAAUCUGUACGCUUAACGUACAGGCUGCCGGGAAUACUGCAGAGCUAGGGAGUGGGAGAGGUAGACGGUACUCGGUAGGAAGUGGUAAAAUGCUUUGAUCUAUCGAUGACCACCUGUGGCGAAGGCGGUCUACCAGAACACGUCCGACGGUGAGGGAUGAAAGCUGGGGGAGCAAACCGGAUUAGAUACCCGGGUAGUCCCAGCUGUAAACUAUGCAAACUCAGUGAUGCAUUGGCUUGUGGCCAAUGCAGUGCUGCAGGGAAGCCGUUAAGUUUGCCGCCUGGGAAGUACGUACGCAAGUAUGAAACUUAAAGGAAUUGGCGGGGGAGCA
rnacentral:rRNA from 1 species